rnacentral:misc_RNA from 1 species
CUUCAAAAGCCACACACAAAAACAAUAUACAUAUCGCAACUAGCUUUGCCUGUUCAUGAAAUUUUGUUGCAUGUUAUUACGACCCAUUAUCUCUCUCAUCAUUCUUUCAUGAUCUCUGUGUGACUUUAAUGUUUGGGUUUCUUCAGUUUGGAUUUAAUUGGGGUCGUGUAAGCUUUGAUGGGUCCUAUAAGAGGGUACAAAAAGAGGAAAAAGACAGAUAAAAGGGCCGAAGAUAAUGCUUAUGCUUCUGCUUCUGCUUCUGUGUCUGCAGAGAAGGAAGGGCCUGUGGAUUGGUGGGAUGA